CCUGUAACCUGCUUGCAUAGCUCUCCAAAUCUAACUCCUGAUCCUGAACCCACUUGACUUCUGCCUUCUCUCCUGCCCCGCUCAACACAGUGCCAACAUUACUCUCAGUGAGAGUAGAACACGACUUCUGCUGGCUUCAUCAGGAGGUUCUGCCUUCCAAUGCCAAAACUGUCCAUCCCACUGAGUGUGUCAGCAUGGGACAAUACAUCCUCAGAUCACGAACACUAAGCACAGUCAGCACUUUGCAAUCUCAACCACCGAACACCAUAUGUGUAUAAUUGUCCGGACCUCUCCCUCCCCAUGUUCAGACCCUGGGCGACUUGGCUGAUCAAGUUACUGGACCUCUUCCCAAUUUACUUGGUGACCCCUGGAACAUAGAGUACCCCUUUUCAAAUGUAUCUACUUUAUAACAUUUAGUCCUUUAGUAAACUGUUAUACAUAAUGUGACAACCCCACUUCCGACCUCCCCUUACUUCAUGUUUUUGUAGAGUUGCACGGUUGUGAAAUUGGUCACCAAGACUCUGGAGUUGAGUCCAUGCUUUGAAAAUAGGCCAUUUCUUAAAAAGAUUACUUAGCAUAAACACACAAAUCGUCAUGGUAAUUUUGCUUCAAUACACACCUAAUUU